rnacentral:rRNA from 1 species
UACGGAGGAUGCAAGCGUUAUCCGGAAUGAUUGGGCGUAAAGCGUCCGCAGGUGGCUGUGUAAGUCUGCUGUUAAAGAGUCUAGCUCAACUAGAUAAGAGCAGUGGAAACUACACGGCUAGAGUACGUUCGGGGCAGAGGGAAUUCCUGGUGUAGCGGUGAAAUGCGUAGAGAUCAGGAAGAACACCGGUGGCGAAGGCGCUCUGCUAGGCCGUAACUGACACUGAGGGACGAAAGCUAGGGGAGCGAGUGGG